rnacentral:rRNA from 1 species
CACGUAGGGCGCAAGCGUUGUCCGGAAUUAUUGGGCGUAAAGAGCUCGUAGGCGGUCUGUUACGUCUGCUGUGAAAACCCUGGGCUUAACCCUGGGCUUGCAGUGGAUACGGGCAGACUAGAGGCAGGUAGGGGAGAAUGGAAUUCCCGGUGUAGCGGUGAAAUGCGCAGAUAUCGGGAGGAACACCGAUGGCGAAGGCAGAUCUCUGGGCCGUAACUGACGCUGAGGAGCGAAAGCGUGGGGAGCGAACAGG